rnacentral:rRNA from 1 species
GACGAACCGUGCGAACGUUGUUCGGAAUCAUUGGGCUUAAAGGGCGCGUAGGCGGGCCCGCAAGUCAGGGUGAAAUCCCACGGCUCAACCGUGGAAGUGCCUCUGAUACUGCGGGCCUCGAGGGGGUAGGGCGUGCGGAACUUCCGGUGGAGCGUGAAAUGCGUAGAUAUCGGAAGGAACACCGGUGGCGAAAGCGGCGCGCUGGACCCGUCUGACGCUGAGGCGCGAAAGCCAGGGAGCAACGGG